rnacentral:rRNA from 1 species
AGGGCACGCAGGCGGUGACUUAAGUGAGAUGUGAAAGCCCCGGGCUUAACCUGGGAAUUGCAUUUCAUACUGGGUCGCUAGAGUACUUUAGGGAGGGGUAGAAUUCCACGUGUAGCGGUGAAAUGCGUAGAGAUGUGGAGGAAUACCGAAGGCGAAGGCAGCCCCUUGGGAAUGUACUGACGCUCAUGUGCGAAAGCGUGGGGAGCAAACAGGAUUAGAUACCCUGGUAGUCCACGCUGUAAACGAUGUCGAUUUGGGGGUUGGGCUUUAAGCUUGGCGCCCGUAGCUAACGUGAUAAAUCGACCGCCUGGGGAGUACGGCCGCAAGGUUAAAACUCAAAUGAAUUGACGGGGGCCCGCACAAGCGGUGGAGCAUGUGGUUUAAUUCGAUGCAACGCGAAGAACCUUACCUACUCUUGACAUCCAGAGAACUUUCCAGAGAUGGAUUGGUGCCUUCGGGAACUCUGAGACAGGUGCUGCAUGGCUGUCGUCAGCUCGUGUCGUGAG